AGAGUUUGAUCAUGGCUCAGAACGAACGCUGGCGGCGCGCCUAAUACAUGCAAGUCGAGCGAGAAGGUGUAGCAAUACACUUGUAAAGCGGCGAACGGGUGAGGAAUACAUGGGUAAUCUACCAUCGAGUGGGGAAUAACCAGCCGAAAGGUUGGCUAAUACCGCGUACGCCUCCGGAUCUUCGGGUUCGGAGGGAAAGCCACACUGUGAGUGCGGCGCUCUUUGAUGAGCUCAUGUCCUAUCAGCUUGUUGGUAGGGUAACGGCCUACCAAGGCUUUGACGGGUAGCUGGUCUGAGAGGACGAUCAGCCACACUGGCACUGCGACACGGGCCAGACUCCUACGGGAGGCAGCAGUAAGGAAUAUUGCGCAAUGGGCGAAAGCCUGACGCAGCGACGCCGCGUGGGGGAUGAAGGUCUUCGGAUUGUAAACCCCUUUCGGGAGGGAAGAUGGAGCGAGCAAUCGUUCGGACGGUACCUCCAGAAGCAGCCACGGCCAACUUCGUGCCAGCAGCCGCGGUAAU
rnacentral:rRNA from 1 species